rnacentral:lncRNA from 1 species
AUCAUACUGUAAAUUAGAAUUGAUUUAGUGAAAUCAAUAUAUAAUAAUUAAAUGAAAAAGAUAUAGUUUGGACUAGUCUCGUCAUGAGACAGUCUGUCAGGAGCUUAUGCCUGAGAUAGUCUGUUAGGAGCUUAUGCAUGGGACAGUUGGUUAGGAGCUUAUAUCUGAGACAGUCUGCCAAGAGCUUAUGCCGGGAUAGCCCCUACGGACUUUUAUAUGUGGGAC